UCCUAAGGAAGCGAUCGUACACCAACCUUCCAGAUCGAUCACCAUCCUUGUGAUGAUCCUAUGGUCAAGAGCUGUUUAUGAGUUACUUAUGUAAAUUCAUGCCUUAAAUUGUCAACUCUUGAAAAUAUGAGUUUACAUUCUCACUAACUCAAAGGAUGUAUCACAGACACAAUGUACACAAUGUGAUAGAAGAAUAAUCCUUUUAUUCAUUUAUAAUUAAAAUUAUAAAUUUAUCCUUAGAUCUGUACAGGAAUGUGUCAGUCGAUCUGGCAUCUAGGGCACACA
rnacentral:lncRNA from 1 species